CUUCAGCGAACCCAGCCAGCAGGGGCUUUGUGCCGGCCGGUCCCGUCCGUAGGUGGCGAGCAGGGCCUGGGCCUC
rnacentral:antisense_RNA from 1 species